rnacentral:rRNA from 1 species
UUAAGCGACUAAGCGUACACGGUGGAUGCCCUGGCAGUCAGAGGCGAUGAAGGACGUGCUAAUCUGCGAUAAGCGUCGGUAAGGUGAUAUGAACCGUUAUAACCGGCGAUUUCCGAAUGGGGAAACCCAGUGUGAUUCGUCACACUAUCAUUAACUGAAUCCAUAGGUUAAUGAGGCGAACCGGGGGAACUGAAACAUCUAAGUACCCCGAGGAAAAGAAAUCAACCGAGAUUCCCCCAGUAGCGGCGAGCGAACGGGGAGCAGCCCAGAGCCUGAAUCAGUGUGUGUGUUAGUGGAAGCGUCUGGAAAGGCGCGCGAUACAGGGUGACAGCCCCGUACACAAAAAUGCACAUGCUGUGAGCUCGAUGAGUAGGGCGGGACACGUGGUAUCCUGUCUGAAUAUGGGGGGACCAUCCUCCAAGGCUAAAUACUCCUGACUGACCGAUAGUGAACCAGUACCGUGAGGGAAAGGCGAAAAGAACCCCGGCGAGGGGAGUGAAAAAGAACCUGAAACCGUGUACGUACAAGCAGUGGGAGCACGCUUAGGCGUGUGACUGCGUACCUUUUGUAUAAUGGGUCAGCGACUUAUAUUCUGUAGCAAGGUUAACCGAAUAGGGGAGCCGAAGGGAAACCGAGUCUUAACUGGGCGUUAAGUUGCAGGGUAUAGACCCGAAACCCGGUGAUCUAGCCAUGGGCAGGUUGAAGGUUGGGUAACACUAACUGGAGGACCGAACCGACUAAUGUUGAAAAAUUAGCGGAUGACUUGUGGCUGGGGGUGAAAGGCCAAUCAAACCGGGAGAUAGCUGGUUCUCCCCGAAAGCUAUUUAGGUAGCGCCUCGUGAACUCAUCUCCGGGGGUAGAGCACUGUUUCGGCAAGGGGGUCAUCCCGACUUACCAACCCGAUGCAAACUGCGAAUACCGGAGAAUGUUAUCACGGGAGACACACGGCGGGUGCUAACGUCCGUCGUGAAGAGGGAAACAACCCAGACCGCCAGCUAAGGUCCCAAAGUCAUGGUUAAGUGGGAAACGAUGUGGGAAGGCCCAGACAGCCAGGAUGUUGGCUUAGAAGCAGCCAUCAUUUAAAGAAAGCGUAAUAGCUCACUGGUCGAGUCGGCCUGCGCGGAAGAUGUAACGGGGCUAAACCAUGCACCGAAGCUGCGGCAGCGACGCUUAUGCGUUGUUGGGUAGGGGAGCGUUCUGUAAGCCUGUGAAGGUGUGCUGUGAGGCAUGCUGGAGGUAUCAGAAGUGCGAAUGCUGACAUAAGUAACGAUAAAGCGGGUGAAAAGCCCGCUCGCCGGAAGACCAAGGGUUCCUGUCCAACGUUAAUCGGGGCAGGGUGAGUCGACCCCUAAGGCGAGGCCGAAAGGCGUAGUCGAUGGGAAACAGGUUAAUAUUCCUGUACUUGGUGUUACUGCGAAGGGGGGACGGAGAAGGCUAUGUUGGCCGGGCGACGGUUGUCCCGGUUUAAGCGUGUAGGCUGGUUUUCCAGGCAAAUCCGGAAAAUCAAGGCUGAGGCGUGAUGACGAGGCACUACGGUGCUGAAGCAACAAAUGCCCUGCUUCCAGGAAAAGCCUCUAAGCAUCAGGUAACAUCAAAUCGUACCCCAAACCGACACAGGUGGUCAGGUAGAGAAUACCAAGGCGCUUGAGAGAACUCGGGUGAAGGAACUAGGCAAAAUGGUGCCGUAACUUCGGGAGAAGGCACGCUGAUAUGUAGGUGAAG